rnacentral:tRNA from 1 species
CGGAGGUGGUGGAGCGGUAUACACGCUCGCCUCAGGAGCGAGUCCCCGUUUGGGGUCGCGGGUUCGAGUCCCGUCCGCUCC